rnacentral:rRNA from 1 species
AUUGAACGCUGGCGGCAGGCUUCACACAUGCAAGUCGAGCGAGCGGCGGACGGGUGAGUAAUGUCUGGGAAACUGCCUGAUGGAGGGGGAUAACUACUGGAAACGGUAGCUAAUACCGCAUACCAUCAGAUGUGCCCAGAUGUGAUUAGCUAGUAGGAGGGGUAAUGGCUCACCUAGUCUACGAUCCCUAGCUGGUCUGAGAGGAUGACCAGCCAAACUGGACAGGAGACACGGGCCAGACUACGACGGGAGGAAGUAGUGGGGAAUAAUGCACAAUGGUCGCAAGCCUGAUGCAGCCAUGCCGCGUGUGUGAAGAAGGCCUUCGGGUUUUAAAGCACUUUCAGCGAGGAGGCGUUACUCGCAGAAGAAGCACCGGCUAACUCCGUGCCAGAAGACGCGGUAAUAC